AUUGAACGCUGGCGGCAUGCCUUACACAUGCAAGUCGAACGGCAGCACGGGUGCUUGCACCUGGUGGCGAGUGGCGAACGGGUGAGUAAUACAUCGGAACAUGUCCUGUAGUGGGGGACAGCCCGGCGAAAGCCGGAUUAAUACCGCAUACGAUCUACGGAUGAAAGCGGGGGACCUUCGGGCCUCGCGCUAUAGGGUUGGCCGAUGGCUGAUUAGCUAGUUGGUGGGGUAAAGGCCUACCAAGGCGACGAUCAGUAGCUGGUCUGAGAGGACGACCAGCCACACUGGGACUGAGACACGGCCCAGACUCCUACGGGAGGCAGCAGUGGGGAAUUUUGGACAAUGGGCGAAAGCCUGAUCCAGCAAUGCCGCGUGUGUGAAGAAGGCCUUCGGGUUGUAAAGCACUUUUGUCCGGAAAGAAAUCCUUGGCUCUAAUACAGUCGGGGGAUGACGGUACCGGAAGAAUAAGCACCGGCUAACUACGUG
rnacentral:rRNA from 1 species